UUCACAGGUGUUGGUCCUUAAUAAACACCAUGCUUCUCUUACUUUGUGCCAUAACUGGCUCCAGGAGGUCCCAGCUUCCAACAGCAAAGAAAGAGGAAGGCUUUAUGUCGUAUGUGAUAAUAUUCCAAGGCUUCUCCUUGGACACCGAGGAGGUGAGGGUCCUUGAGACCUGGUAGGGAUGGAUCUCAUGUCCUGUGAGCAAGGGACAACUUUGGCAUCUUCACUGAAUGAUCUGCAGGUAUAAUUUUUGCAGAAUAAAAGAAGGCUUCUCAGAAGAGGAACCCUUGAGUGGUUGAGCAAGACUGGAAGCUGGCCUGGCAGACACGUGGAAGAAGGCAUCUCAGGCUUGGCAGACAAUCUGAGCAACUGCUUCUGGGUUUUGGGGAAAGAACGGCUGAUGAACCUGGACGCAGAGGCAGAGAACUCAUGAAAAGUGUAAAAGAGGAAACUGAGGAGAAAAAAACGUAAAUAGAUUUGCCAAAGCCAGCAACCUACAGAAGAAUCUCCUUCUGAAUUUCCAGCUUCAAAGGACAAGAUGAACAUGAAAACACACAAGUUUUCAAAGCUAUAAAGACCUUUUGGGAAUGUUUAUAAAAUUGAGCUGUAGUGCCUUGCUCUUGCAUUAAUUUCCAAAGUAGGCAUACCUUCUAAAUAUAAAGAAGUGCAGAUAAUUUGUUUCUACUCAAGGUAAGAGCAAUGCCUUGUAUUCGUCACCAGAA